rnacentral:rRNA from 1 species
GAUGAACGCUGACAGAAUGCUUAACACAUGCAAGUCAACUUGAAUUUGGGUUUUUAACUUAGAUUUGGGUGGCGGACGGGUGAGUAACGCGUAAAGAACUUGCCUCACAGCUAGGGACAACAUUUAGAAAUGAAUGCUAAUACCUGAUAUUAUGAUUUUAAGGCAUCUUAGAAUUAUGAAAGCUAUAUGCACUGUGAGAGAGCUUUGCGUCCCAUUAGCUAGUUGGAGAGGUAACAGCUCACCAAGGCGAUGAUGGGUAGCCGGCCUGAGAGGGUGAACGGCCACAAGGGGACUGAGACACGGCCCUUACUCCUACGGGAGGCAGCAGUGGGGAAUAUUGGACAAUGGACCGAGAGUCUGAUCCAGCAAUUCUGUGUGCACGAUGAAGUUUUUCGGAAUGUAAAGUGCUUUCAGUUGGGAAGAAAAAAAUGACGGUACCAACAGAAGAAGUGACGGCUAAAUACGUGCCAGCAGCCGCGGUAAUACGUAUGUCACGAGCGUUAUCCGGAUUUAUUGGGCGUAAAGCGCGUCUAGGUGGUUAUGUAAGUCUGAUGUGAAAAUGCAGGGCUCAACUCUGUAUUGCGUUGGAAACUGUAUAACUAGAGUACUGGAGAGGUAAGCGGAACUACAAGUGUAGAGGUGAAAUUCGUAGAUAUUUGUAGGAAUGCCGAUGGGGAAGCCAGCUUACUGGACAGAUACUGACGCUAAAGCGCGAAAGCGUGGGUAGCAAACAGG